rnacentral:rRNA from 1 species
GAUGAACGCUAGCGGCAGGCUUAACACAUGCAAGUCGAGGGGCAGCACGGGUAGCAAUACCUGGUGGCGACCGGCGCAAGGGUGCGUAACGCGUGAGCAACAUGCCCGUAUCAGGGGAAUAAUCCAGGGAAACUUGGUCUAAUACCCCAUAGUAAAUAUUAAAGGCAUCUUUAAUAUUUUAAAGCUUUGGUGGAUACGGAUUGGCUCGCGUGACAUUAGCUAGAUGGUAAGGUAACGGCUUACCAUGGCUACGAUGUCUAGGGGUACUGAGAGGAAGGUCCCCCACACUGGAACUGAGACACGAUCCAGACUCCUACGGGAGGCAGCAGUGAGGAAUAUUGGACAAUGGAUGGAAAUCUGAUCCAGCCAUGCCGCGUGCAGGAAGACGGCCCUAUGGGUUGUAAACUGCUUUUAUAUGGGAGCAAUAAGGCCUACGUGUAGGUUGAUGAGAGUACCAUAUGAAUAAGCACCGGCUAACUCCGUGCCAGCCGCCGCAGUAACAC